GAGAUUUAAAACGAAUUUAAAACAAACAAACCCUCAUCCAUCAUGUUUUUGGCAUCACCGAGUAUAUUCAAUUUGGACGGGUGAUUCAAGGCGGCGAUUGGCGUCGAGCACGCGAAAAGUGGCGGCGGCACAAGGCUGUGGGAGGAGCAGCGGCGGCGGCGCAAGGCUGUGGGAGAGCAACGUCGGCGGCGCAAUGAGGUGGGAGGAAGCAACGGCGAUGGGCG
rnacentral:lncRNA from 1 species